UAGGGAAUCUUCGGCAAUGGACGAAAGUCUGACCGAGCAACGCCGCGUGAGUGAAGAAGGUUUUCGGAUCGUAAAACUCUGUUGUUAGAGAAGAACAAGGACGUUAGUAACUGAACGUCCCCUGACGGUAUCUAACCAGAAAGCCACGGCUAACUACGUGCCAGCAGCCGCGGUAAUACGUAGGUGGCAAGCGUUGUCCGGAUUUAUUGGGCGUAAAGCGAGCGUAGGCGGUUUCUUAAGUCUGAUGUGAAAGCCCCCGGCUCAACCGGGGAGGGUCAUUGGAAACUGGGAGACUUGAGUGCAGAAGAGGAGAGUAGAAUUCCAUGAGUAGCGGUGAAAUGCGUAGAUAUAUGGAGGAAAACCAGUGGCGAAGGCGGCUCUCUGGUCUGUGACUGACGCUGAGGCUCGAAAGCGUGGGGAGCAAACAGG
rnacentral:rRNA from 1 species